CCAACGGCCCUCUUUAGGGCCACAAUUCAAAAAUCCCAAUUUAUGU
rfam:Caenorhabditis elegans chromosome V